GUAGCGUGAAGGAUGACUGCCCUAUGGGUUGUAAACUUCUUUUAUACGGGAAUAAAGUGAGGCACGUGUGCCUUUUUGUAUGUACCGUAUGAAUAAGGAUCGGCUAACUCCGUGCCAGCAGCCGCGGUAAUACGGAGGAUCCGAGCGUUAUCCGGAUUUAUUGGGUUUAAAGGGAGCGUAGGCGGACGCUUAAGUCAGUUGUGAAAGUUUGCGGCUCAACCGUAAAAUUGCAGUUGAUACUGGGUGUCUUGAGUACAGUAGAGGCAGGCGGAAUUCGUGGUGUAGCGGUGAAAUGCUUAGAUAUCACGAAGGACUCCGAUUGCGAAGGCAGCUUGCUGGACUGUAACUGACGCUGAUGCUCGAAAGUGUGGGUAUCAAACAGGAUUAGAUACCCUGGUAGUCCACACAGUAAACGAUGAAUACUCGCUGUUUGCGAUAUACAGUAAGCGGCCAAGCGAAAGCGUUAAGUAUUCCACCUGGGGAGUACG
rnacentral:rRNA from 1 species